UACAGAGGGUGCAAGCGUUGUUCGGAAUUAUUGGGCGUAAAGCGCGUGUAGGCGGCUUUGCAAGUCGGGUGUGAAAGCCCCCAGCUUAACUGGGGGAAGUGCGCUCGAAACUGCAGGGCUAGAGUCCUGGAGAGGAAGGUGGAAUGCUUGGUGUGAGAGGUGAAAUUCGUAGAUAUCAAGCGGAACACCGGUGGCGAAGGCGGCCUCUGGACAGUGACUGACGCUGAGACGCGAAAGCGUGGGGAGCAAAGCAGGG
rnacentral:rRNA from 1 species